rnacentral:rRNA from 1 species
GCUGGCGGCAGGCUUAACACAUGCAAGUCGAACGGUAACAGAGAAUAGCUUGCUAGUUUUGCUGACGAGUGGCGGACGGGUGAGUAAUGCUUGGGUAUAUGCCAAUAGGUGGGGGACAACAGUUGGAAACGACUGCUAAUACCGCAUAAUCUCUUCGGAGCAAAGCAGGGGACCUUCGGGCCUUGCGCCUAUUGAUUAGCCCAAGUGGGAUUAGCUAGUUGGUAAGGUAAUGGCUUACCAAGGCGGACGAUCCCUAGCUGGUCUUAGAGGAUGACCAGCCACACUGGAACUGAGACACGGUCCAGACUCCUACGGGAGGCAGCAGUGGGGAAUAUUGCACAAUGGAGGAAACUCUGAUGCAGCCAUGCCGCGUGUGUGAAGAAGGCUUUCGGGUUGUAAAGCACUUUCAGCGAGGAGGAAAGGGCGAUGGUUAAUAACUAUCGUCUGUGACGUUACUCGCAGAAGAAGCACCGGCUAACUCCGUG